rnacentral:rRNA from 1 species
UACGUAGGGGGCAAGCGUUGUCCGGAAUCAUUGGGCGUAAAGAGCGCGUAGGCGGUCCGGUAAGUCCGCUGUGAAAGUCAAGGGCUCAACCCUUGAAUGCCGGUGGAUACUGUCGGGCUAGAGUCCGGAAGAGGCGAGUGGAAUUCCUGGUGUAGCGGUGAAAUGCGCAGAUAUCAGGAGGAACACCGGUGGCGAAGGCGGAUCUCUGGGCCUUACCUGACGCUGAGGCGCGAAAGCUAGGGGAGCGAACAGG